rnacentral:lncRNA from 1 species
GUCAUUUUAUCAAAUGUGUGUUAACGUGUUUGCAGUGCAGUCUUCGUCGAAAAUUUGCUCUGGUCCCUUGGUACAUGUAUACUUCAUUUUAUUGGACUGCUUUGGAUAAGGAAGAUGCUUUAUAGUCUGGAUAAAUAUAUGGGGAAUUACAGACCUUCAGGGAUAACAUUCUUUAUUGAAUGGAUGAAAAGAAAAGGCGAAAUGCGAAAAAAAAACUUGAAGAUCGAGUGAAUGCAGGCAAACGAAGAGGAACGUAAUAAAGAGAUGUAGAAAUGAUUGAAUUCCCAGCACACCUCAUUAUCCGAAUCCUCCUGAUGCCCAGGGAGGGCUUACGGUCUUAAAGAAACGAUUCAAACAUGAUUUGUAUUAAAGCCAACAAUCUCCCGCACUGGAACAUCAAAUUACUGAGAACUUAAACAGAAAAUGCAUGUGUGGAGUU